rnacentral:rRNA from 1 species
UACGGAGGAUGCAAGCGUUAUCCGGAAUCAUUGGGCGUAAAGAGUCCGUAGGUGGCAAUUCAAGUCUGCUGUCAAAGACCGAAGCUCAACUUCGGGUAGGCGGUGGAAACUGAAGAGCUAGAGUAUAGUAGGGGUAGAGGGAAUUCCUAGUGUAGCGGUGAAAUGCGUAGAGAUUAGGAAGAACACCAGUGGCGAAGGCGCUCUACUGGGCAUAUACUGACACUGAGGGACGAAAGCUAGGGUAGCGAAAGGG